GAUCGGGAUAACACCUGGAAACAGAUGCUAAUACCGGAUAACAACAGAUGAUGCCUAUCAACUGUUUAAAAGAUGGUUCUGCUAUCACUCUUGGAUGGACCUGCGGUGCAUUAGCUAGUUGGUAGGGUAACGGCCUACCAAGGCGAUGAUGCAUAGCCGAGUUGAGAGACUGAUCGGCCACAUUGGGACUGAGACACGGCCCAAACUCCUACGGGAGGCAGCAGGC
rnacentral:rRNA from 1 species